rnacentral:rRNA from 1 species
GACGAACCGUGCAAACGUUGUUCGGAAUCACUGGGCUUAAAGGGCGCGUAGGCGGGCGGGCAAGUCAGGGGUGAAAUCCCACGGCUCAACCGUGGAAGUGCCUUUGAUACUGCUCGUCUGGAGGGAGGUAGGGGCGUGCGGAACUUCCGGUGGAGCGGUGAAAUGCGUAGAUAUCGGAAGGAACACCGGUGGCGAAAGCGGCGCGCUGGACCUCUACUGACGCUGAGGCGCGAAAGCUAGGGGAGCGAACGGG